rnacentral:tRNA from 1 species
AGGAAGUAGGCGGCACCCCCUCCACGCGACUUUUAAUCCGCGGGUUGUGGGUUCGAGUCCCACGGGGCCCA